CGUGAAAAAUCAUUUCCUCAAUGUUAAGACGCAAAAUAGUCAUCCCGCUUAAAACCGUGUCUUCACUUGCCUCCUUGCCGCCUCUCAGAAAUAGGGUAUUUUUUCGCCCCCUGAGUUCCUCCUCUUUCCUAGAUACCCUGAAUUCGAGUCGCCUGCAACAAACGGCAAAUCAUUAGCCAUAAAACUUGUAAGUCUACCCCAGCAAUUUAUUCUUAUUUUUCUUUGUUUUGUUUACAAUAGUUGCCAGACUACAUUGAGAGAGAGGUGGUACACGGUAGACCAAAUGUUUGAUGAAAGUCUUGUUAAAAGCUCAAAUUCGAUAUAGCCCACGUGUGGAAAUAUGCGACGCCCAUGAAAUUUCAGCUUAUGGGUCAGUUCCAUUGACGAGAAUGAAUUGUAUGUUCUUAUCCAUCAAUCUGUAUUCCAAGAUGCCAUCUAUAACUGUGAUGGGAUAGUCAAGUAGAAGAAGUCAUCACAGGAAAGUACCAAAGAAUCUUCUCAAUCUCCGGCGUACCAAACUGCCCCCUGACUUUGGGGUUAACUUGUUUUUAGAGAGUUGGGUCAAAUGGGGCUUCCUGAGAGAGCUUUGCAGACUUUUUGUUGGUUUCAGAAGCAGCCUCAUCUUUUCCCAGAUGAUCAGCUCUGCCAGCUUUUGAUGCCCGUUCGAAAGACCCACUUCACAUCAAGUUAGGUAAGUUCACCUGUUGAAAAACUUGUGUGCUGAUGCUUUUUCUUUGCGCCCUGGGCAUGAAUAUGUCCUGUGGUUAGAUUGAUGUCACUUUCUGGUGUUUUCAUUUAUGUGAAGCCAAUGAAAUGAUUGCCAAUAUCUUAGUGAAUUAAGUUGUUUGUAAUCAUUAUUCUUAUAUGUCGUCUACCUUUUCUAUUGCCGGUGCAAACUUAAUGCACAUGAUGGUUUACACUUGAUCUCUGAACUUCAGGUAAGUUCACUUGUUGAGAAGCUUAUGUGCUGAUGCUCAGUUUUUGCACCUUUUGUGGGAAUAUUGUCCAAUUCUUGCAUUUAAUCCUACUUUUACAUUUCUUCAAGUGAAUAGAGUGCGGAAAUGUCCUGUGGGAUGAAUAAGAGAUAUGAAAUUAAAGGAGAUUUAUUGUUGGGAUGAGUAAUGCUUAAGAGGUUAGGGAGAGUUUUAAUGCUCAAAUAUACAAUUCUUUUAGAAGUGGAGAUAGUUGGAGUAAAGCAGGUAUUGUGACUCUCCUCAAUUUGCCUUUAAAGUAGUCUUUGUAUAUGGCUUAGAGUAAAACAAAAUCUCUUCUUCUCUUACUUCGUUAAACCUUUUGCGCUUAAUGUGAGGCCGCAUGCUAAAUUAAAGCAUGAUUUAGCCCAUUUAUUUUGUCCUUCAUUCUGACAGUGAUUUUUUUUUUUUUGGAUUUUUAGUCCUUGAAGUUUUAAUUGUACUGGUACAUAUUGAACUUGUGUUUGCUCCUUUCAAAUUCAGUUGGCUUUGUUUUUUAAUCCAUUAUUUUAAUGCAUUUAAAUUUAGCAACAUAAGUAUAUGAAUGCUAUGACCUUUUCUUGGCCGUGAAUUGUUUACAUGGAGUCCAGAAAUGUGAUUUGCGAAGCCUGUAGUGUGGCAAUGGUUUGGUAAAGGUGAGACCUGAAAUGAAAAAUUGGAUGACCGCACCCAUUACUCUUAUGAUAUGCUGGUGUUAUGCUUUGCUAAAGAUAUGACAAGGAUGCUGGCCUUCAUGUUCUAGAAGCUUGCAGCUUUUGUUGAAGCAAAUUCUAGAGGACCUUCUGAGUCUACAGUGUCAAUGAAAGGCAAAAGGGAAUAGUUGUGAUUGCUGAUUUGUUUGAGAGAAAACUUAAAAACAUAAGGGAUGCUAUUUAAGAUGAUGCACAGACAAUUAAAGAGGGAAAUGUUUCAGUUGAGAGAGGAAGUUUUUGCGGAACUGCAGAUUCUAUUCACCGACUUUGGUGUGUAUUAUAAAUCUUAACACUUUCCUUGUUGCGAAUGCUGGAAGGGCCAAAGGGUGAAAGGAACUUUUGUUGCAGAUGAUUUGUACUCCUGAUGACUCUUGAUGAAAUCCCUCUGUGGUUGGUGGGCAUGAUAUAUACAUAUAGAAAUGUACACACACACAUAAAUGCAUACAUAUAUACAUAUAUAUAUAGAUGGUUUGUAUAGGAUUGAGCUAUUUUAGCAUAUUGGCUUUUUUCUUCAUUUAUUUAUACUGGGGAUGUAGAGGAUGAUUUCAGCUGUUGUUAAUUUCUUUGAUAAUUUUCCAGUCA